CCUACGGGGGGCUGCAGUAAGGAAUAUUGGUCAAUGGGCGCAAGCCUGAACCAGCCAUGCCGCGUGAAGGAUGACGGCCCUAUGGGUUGUAAACUUCUUUUGUACGGGAAAAAACCUCUGGUCGUGUAUCAGAGCUGAUGGUACCGUAAGAAUAAGCAUCGGCUAACUCCGUGCCAGCAGCCGCGGUAAUACGGAGGAUGCAAGCGUUAUGCGGAUUCAGUGUGUGUAGAGGGUGCGCAGGCGGAGUGGUGAAAGCCUACAGCUUAACUGUAGAACGGCCAUUGAUACUGUCAUUCUUGAGUAUUGUUGAGGUAGGCGGAAUGUGUCAUGUAGCGGUGAAAUGCUUAGAUAUGACACAGAACACCGAUCGCGAAGGCAGCUUACCAAGCAAUAACUGACGCUCAUGCACGAAAGCGUGGGGAUCAAACAGGAUUAGAUACCCCAGUAGUC
rnacentral:rRNA from 1 species